GAUGAAGAACGUAGCAAAAUGCGAUAAGUAAUGUGAAUUGUAGAAUUCAGUGAAUCAUCGAAUCUUUGAACGCACAUUGCGCCCGCCAGUAUUCUGGCGGGCAUGCCUGUUCGAGCGUCAUUUCAACCCUCAAGCCCUCGGGUUUGGUGUUGGGGAUCGGCGAGCCUUUCUGGCAAGCCGGCCCCGAAAUCUAGUGGCGGUCUCGCUGCAGCCUCCAUUGCGUAGUAGUAAAACCCUCGCAACUGGAACGCGGCGCGGCCAAGCCGUUAAACCCCCAACUUCUGAAUGUUGACCUCGGAUCAGGUAGGAAUACCCGCUGAACUUAAGCAUAUCAAUAAGCGGAGGA
rnacentral:misc_RNA from 1 species